CUUUGGAUAAAAAUGCAAAGCAAAAUGAAGUAUGGACAUUUGAUGAUAAAUGAUGGAUUGGUUUGUGCACAGAUACCGAAUGGGGCUCCCUCUUUAUCAUCAUGACAUGGAAGACUAGAAACAAAGUUUUGAGAGACCUUUAAAACCAAGUGGCUUUUUAAAAGUUAAGAAAAUGGUAAUCUUUUUAAUAAAUGUAAAUGCUGUUUCAGCUACCUGCCAUAAAAUGUAAAUAUCUUAAAGUAGUUAAAUGACCAAAUUGCUAAUGCUACUACAGAAAAAGCUGAACAGCUGUCUAGUCUAAAUUUAUACACCUUGGUGCACUCUGCAAUUAAAUACUUUAAUGCGCACAAACAAGAAACCAGUAAAGCAUAUAGAAACAUGUUUUGGCUAAUGCUUUUUUCUCAUGCAAAUAUGUGCUGUACAUGUAAUAAGUUUAUUUUUGUUUGCUGGAAAAAGCUCUUCAUGUUCUAUCAAAGUAUUCAGGAAUGGCAGGUUAUGUGUUUAUUAAACAGCCUAAUAGAUACAGCUCUUUUAAAUGUUUUAACUGAAAGUUCUGCAAACUUCACUAGAUGACAAAAGAACUUCACAAGCCAGUAUCACAUAUUAACUUUUAAAAUUUACUGAGCCCAUGUUUAAUUGUAUCAAAUGUUUGAGAUGACUUAUAGAAUUAUAGGUAUUCUCAUUUUCAGCUAAAGAUUCAUAAGGGGGUACAUACAGUCAACAUGAGGGGAGGCAUGUGAUGAAGGUCCAAGAUAUGUAUAAGUAAUCAAUAAUUGAAAUUUAUUUUCUUGAUCAGGAAAAUAAUUGAACUAGUGCAUUCUUCAAGAACUUAGAUAUUAAAAAACUUGGGGAAAAAGAAGAUAGUAUGAAAUUAAUUAAUCAAGGGUUUUUUGGUGGGGAUGGAACCCAGGGCCUACAAAUAUGCUUAAAAAGCACUCUACAACUGAGCUACACCUCAGCCUGAAAAUUAAUUGUUCUCGUUUUCAAAAAUUGGCUUCAUGAGAUGCAGAAAAAGACUUUUAUGCCUGGUCCUACUAGGGUUUUAGAAAAUGCAUGCAUUGUGGAAUUUUAGAAACAAAGAUCUUUCAUAAAUACAUUUUAUAUUUUAUAAAAGGGUCAUUUGAAUAAUUUCUUGGAUUAUAGUGAAUCUAAGGCGUCCCUGAUAAUAUAAGACAGAGGCCAUCAAUUCAUAAUUAUAGUCAUUGGAAAAACUGAACUAUUGGUAAGUGAUGAGCAGUGUCCAUAGAGAUAUAAGUCAGCUCCAUCUCCAAAAUCU
rnacentral:lncRNA from 1 species